rnacentral:rRNA from 1 species
UCCUUUGACGACUCUCGAGGAGGGCGAUUAACACGUGGCCAACCUACCUUAUAGUUUGCGAUAACUCCGGUAAACCGGGGCUAAUACCGAAUAAUCUGUCUCACCUCAUAGUGAAAUAUUGAAAGACGGAUUCGGCUGUCGCUAUAGGAUGGGCCCGCGGCGCAUUAGCUAGGUGGUGAGGUAACGGCUCACCAAGGCGACGAUGCGUACCCGACCUGAGAGGGUGAUCGGCCUCACUGGGACUGAGACUUGGCCCAGACUCCUACGGGAGGCAGCCGUAGGGAAUCUUCCACAAUGGGCGAAAGCCUGAUGGAGCAACGCCGCGCGAGUGAAGAAGGAUUUCGGUUCGUAAAACUCUGUUGUAAGGGAAGAACAAGUACAGCAGUAACUGGCUGUACCUUGACGGUACCUUAUUAUAAAGCCACGGCUAACUACGUGCCAGCAGCCGCGGUAAUACGUACGUGGCAAGCGUUGUCCGGAAUUAUUGGGCGUAAAGCGCGCGCAGGUGGUUUCUUAUGUCUGAUGUGAAAGCCCACGGCUCAACCGUGGAGGGUCAUUGUAAAACUGGGAGACUUGAGUGCAUAAGAGGAUAGUGCCCUUCCAAGUGUAGCGGUGAAAUGCCUAGAGUUUGGAAGGAAC